rnacentral:rRNA from 1 species
UCCGUAGGCGGUGUGGUAAGUCGAUAGUGAAAUCUCUGGGCUUAACCCAGAGGCUGCUAACGAAACUACCAUGCUAGAGUGUGAGAGAGGCGAGUGGAAUUACGGGUGUAGCGGUGAAAUGCGUAGAUAUCCGUAGGAACAUCCGAGGCGAAAGCGGCUCGCUGGAUCACAACUGACGCUGAGGGAGAAAGCUAGGGGAGACCAAACGA